UGGUCAAGUUAUUAAGGGUGCAGGGCGGAUGCCUUGGCACUAGGAGCCGAUGAAGGACGUGAUAAGCUGCGAUAAGCUUCGGGGAGUUGCACGUAAACUUUGAUCCGAAGAUUUCCGAAUGAGGAAACUCACUUAGAGUAAUGUCUAAGUAUCAUUAAGUGAAUACAUAGCUUAAUGAGGGGAACUCAGGGAACUGAAACAUCUAAGUACCUGAAGGAAGAGAAAGAAAUUCGAUUCCGUAAGUAGCGGCGAGCGAACGCGGAUUAGCCCAAACCAAUAAAGUUUUCUUUAUUGGGGUUGCGGACAUAUCAUAACGAAGAGGUAUCGUAAUUGAAGAGGUUUGGAAAGACCCACCACAGAAGGUAAUAGUCCUGUAUGUUAAACGAGAAGACUUUAGAUAUGAUCCAGAGUACCACGGGACACGUGAAACCCUGUGGGAAGCAGGAGGGACCACCCUCCAAGGCUAAAUACUACCUAGUGACCGAUAGCGUAUAGUACCGUGAGGGAAAGGUGAAAAGAACCCCGGGAGGGGAGUGAAAUAGAACCUGAAACCCUGCACUUACAAGCUGUGGAAGCACAUUUCUUGUGUGACCGCGUACUUUUUGUAGAACGGGCCAACGAGUUACGUUAAGUAGCAAGGUUAAGCACUUAAGGUGCGGAGCCGUAGCGAAAGCGAGUUUUAACUGAGCGUUCAGUUACUUGACGUAGACCCGAAACCGGGCGACCUACCCAUGAGCAGGAUGAAGCGAAAGUAAAAUUUCGUGGAGGUCCGAACCCACGAGCGUUGAAAAGCUCGGGGAUGACUUGUGGGUAGCGGUGAAAUUCCAAUCGAGCCCGGAGAUAGCUGGUUCUCCCCGAAAUAGCUUUAGGGCUAGCCUCAAGGUGAGAGAUACGGAGGUAGAGCACUGAAUGUCCUAGGGGGUAUUGCACCUA
rnacentral:rRNA from 1 species